rnacentral:tRNA from 1 species
AGCCCCGUGGUGCAGUGCAUGUCGGAUUGCAAGUCCGGAGGAGCAGGCUAGUCCCCUGCCGGGGCUU